rnacentral:pre_miRNA from 14 species
UUGUUAAAAUGCAGAUUCUGAUUCAGUAGAUCUGGAUUGGGGCCCAAGAUUCUGCAUUUUUAAUGAGUUC